GUUUAUUUCAUCAUCUUACAAACUUCUUACUCAGUAAAAGCUGACCUUUUUACCUUUGUGUGACAUUGGGAUGCCUAAUUGAUUCUGCUACAAGGGGUUCGGCUACUCUGUGCACGGCUCUAUAGGCCACAUAGAGACUAAACUGAAGUACUGUGUGCCCAAGGCCUCACGUGAGACCUGGCUCGCCAGAGGCUUCAGUCAGUGUCUGCUAUUAUUAUUGCAAUUGUGAUGAUAUUAAGAUCAUGAAAUCUUGCCUGUCACUACUUGCUCUCACCAAGGCUUCAUAUCAGCUUCUAAAGAUGUUAUUGGUGCAUAGCUGAUGAACAGAGCUAUGGGUUUCAUAGAGACAGUUUCUUCCCUGCAUGUCCUUUCUACUUACUCAUGUACCUUCCCCUUUUCUCUCUUGCAACCUUCUCCUUUCUCUUUUGUCCCACUUUUUCAAAUCUUCUUGCCUGCAGUCUGCUUCCCCUCAUUAAUAAAAAGAAUGCCUGGAAAUAGUCUGUGGUUAUCCACUUGACCUUUUCCAGGUCUUCUUCCCCACUGAGUAUCCAAAACUUCUCAAUUUACUGUCCAAAAGCCAUUGUCUUUUAAGUCGGUAGAGCAAGCAAACAACUACUUAUCCGAAAAGCACAUUUAUCGUGAUUAUAUGACCAAACUAGCAGGCUUUAGAGAGGUCAGCAUAAAUAGUGUAGGUAAAUCACCAAACUAUAGCAGCUGGGGUAGCUUAGUGAGUACGGGUGCUUGCUGCCAAGCCUAAUGGCCUAAGUUUGACUCUCGGGACUCACAAAGUCGAAGUAGAGAACUGACCCCUGAGAGCUCUCCUCUGACCUCCAUACAUGUCCUGUGACACACACACCCUCAUCCACACACAUGCACACAUGCAAAUAAGUAAGUAACUGGGUGUGGUGGCACAUGUCUUAAUCCCCAGCAAGCAGAGGCAGGUAAAUCACUGAGUUUCAGACAAACUAGGGCUGCUAGGGCUGUAUAGUGAAACUCCAUCUAAAAAAUUACAGUGUUUUACGUUAUCAAGCUUGAUUAUAUUUGUCAAUUUGUAAUCCUACUAUGGUCACUCCUAGGCAUGGAAACAUCAGACAGCAAGUGUAAAAAAAAGGUAAAUAGGCGCUGCCAAAUAAUAAGGAAAAUAAGAAGUCACCCAAGGUAGGAAUGGCCUUGAGUAACUUACGCCGUUCCAGUUCUCUCACAAAGUUCCCCUGGGAUUUCCUCUUUCAAGUUCAAUGUUACUGAACUCAUUAGGAAACGACAAUCUGCUAAUAGCUGAGCAUUCUCCAAUUGCUUUGCUUUCAUGAUAAUCCAAUACAAAAUGUGGCCCAGAAACCAAACCUAAGAGAAACUGUACUGAAAUGGCCAAAGUCCAGCUUGGCAAAUUUGUAAUCCCAGUACUCAUGAGGCAGGGCCAAGAGGUCCUUUGCAAAUACAAGCGUGGUCUGGAUACAAUAAUGAGACCCUAUCUUGAGAGAGAGAGAUGGGGGGAUUAAAUAAACAAACAAAUAGAUAAAAAGUCUCAGAGAGCUUGCUUGAGGAAGAAUCCUGUCUGACCAGUAAGUCCAAACCCCUGCCAGCUUGUUCUGAGCAGCCUCACCUAACAGAAGCUCAUGGAGGUUGGAUCUGGACAAUCUGUUAUUGGCCUUGAGGCCCUGGACACUGCCUUGACCUUUCUGAAUCUCUAGUCAUUCAUGGAACUUUGAAUCAAUAAUUCCAAGGUUGUGCAGGUAUAGUUUUACUGAAAGUACAUAAAAACAUAACCUAGAAUUCAGUAAAUCUUGCGUCAAGCUGCACAUCAUCAAAGUUGUACCCUAGACUGCACCAUCACUCUUUCAUAAGCAAACCAGACAGAACAAAAGAGAAAUUUUGCCUUUUAAAAACUUUAUGAGAAAGAGCCUGUCACUCCAAGUACUUGGGAAGUUGAAGGAGGAAGAUCACAGGUUCAUAGCCAGUCUGGGAUACAGAGUGAGUUCAAAGCCAACCUGAGAAACUUAGUGAAAUCUUAUCUUAUUAUAAGAACUGGAAAAUCUGCUGGACUCAUAUAUCAAAGAUAGAGCACUUGUCUAACGCAUGUACAGUCCUGGGUUCCAUCCUUAGGACUUGAAAAAGACCUUUUACCAGCCCAGAAUGCACCAUUAUGCAUAGUAGUCAGUCUGUCACAAGAGCGAUAUUACAUGAAACUCAUCAAAAGCUAUGAGGCAGUUGUCUUGAUAGUAUUGAUUGCUUAAGCUAGAAGUUCUCAGGCUGUGGGUUGUGACACGGCAAGUCUUGGCUGUGCUUUCCCCACACUGGUGCUGGGCGGGUGUCAGGGUAUGAGAAUCCAUACACCCCCCUCCCCCGGAAGUGUGGGAAUGCAAUCUGAGGUCCACAGGGACUGCUAGAGUUGACUCCGGGGUUCCCUGCAUCAGGUUCUCAGACUCCAGAUGCCACUGGAUGCCACAGAAGAGCUGAGAACAGAGUGGGCCCGGACCCCGCCCCCCCCCCUUGCACUUGGGCACCCCAGAUGCCGCUGGAUGCCACGUGGGAAUAUAGUCCUUGGCUUGUUCAGCGGGCUGCUUGGCUCGGUGGAGACCAUGGCUGGGAGCGCUGGGAGGCCUCCUGCAGUAGACUAGGUGGCUGGCUCAUUAGAUGAAGGCCUGCUCCAUUGCUCUCCACAGCAGAUCCCAAUGAAAUGAGACAGUCCAUGGCAUUAAGGCCUUAUUUGUCAUGGUGGAGAGUUGUGUUGAGUGAAACCUUACCCCACUUUUUCAGGGCAGGCCUGAGGUUAAAUACCUUUUAUGGAGAGGAGUUUAUGGGAAGGAGAGCUAGAUUGGCUAAGCCCUUCAGACCUUUAGGUACCUCAUUAAAAUGGGGAUCUGUCUUAAGGCUACAUGAUCUGUGGUCAUGUGGGGCUUGGGACAUUGCCCUUAUAUGACUCAUGGCCAUAUACCUAUGGAGUAGAGACCUGUGGCCUAGUAUCAGGAGCCUGGUGUCUAGGAGUGUGGCAAAAUGCCUACUGUUCCUUGCAGAAUUAUUUCUGUGGGGUCACUGGGGUUUAAAACCUAGCUUAACUAGAAAACAGGCUGCCUUCCACGGUCCCACAGAGUAGAAAAAAGGAUGAAGGCCAACUACCUUUGGAAGUUUGAUUUGCCUAACUUCACGGGAAUUUGACCGCAUUUUAGAAGUCUGUAUCCACUGAGCACAUGCCUGAUGCACAGGCAUCAUUCAGAAAGGAGGUCAGACUUAAAGGAGACCGGAAAGGGCAGAACAACCCAAUUCAUGCCUUUAAAUGAUU
rnacentral:lncRNA from 1 species